rnacentral:lncRNA from 1 species
AAACACUAAGUGAGCUUGAAUAUUCAUUCAAUCUGAUUCAAAUGUACAAGAAAUAAUAAUAAUAAAAUAAUAAUAAUAAUUCGUGAGGCCAAUUGGACGAAAGUCUUGGGAAAGAAAACCAAAGAUAACAAACAUUUGUACGUUAGAUGAACAUAAAAGAACGGAACUGUUUCUCUAUAAUCAGAUCAAAAGUAUAAGAUAUAUGACAAACUUGAAAAAGGAAAUAGAACAAAGAACAAAGAGCACCAAAAGAUAAAAGCAAGAAUGCACCCACUAGAGACGGUGGUGGCCUAUCUGCCCAGCAACAUUGCGCCACUGCUCUGGAACUAAUCCUCGCCGCUGCAUGAGCAGCUCGAUUAACACUACGAGAGAUCCAACUCCACUCCACAACAUCCAGAGAUGAAGCAAGAUGUCUGAUUUCCAGCACAAUUGGAAGAAUAGUCCAAACCCUCUUACUCACUCGUCCAUAAAUACUAAGGUUCAAAAUUUAUGAGUCAGUCUCCAUGAUCAUUCUUCUAUACCCCAAACCAGCCACCAGUUUGAGACCUCGAAUGGCAGCUUCCGGUUCCUCAUGGAGAGCAGAACAAGAAGUUAAGCCUUCAGUGAGACCCCCUACAGUUUUGCCGCUUUCAUUCCGUAACACUGUUAGAUAAAAAUAUAAGAAAAGUGAGAAAAGAUUCAUCCAACACAAUUUCACUCUUAUUUAUUGCAAAUAAGAGUUUCUAUAGUUUGAGUAGGAUCCAUUUCAGGAUGAAAAUAUCUCUUAAUUACAAUAUCUUCUGAAAAGAGAACACCCUUUGAUUCAAAUGCGAAGAGUGAAAGUUCGUUUGAUGUUUAUGGUUGCAUCUAGGGAACCCUAGACUGCCUACAUACCUUUUUGGGUAUCAAGCCGUUUGUAGUUCCCGAAAGAAUUUAAUUGGAUUUUCAAGGAGUGAAUGACCCCUUGAAAGCAUUUUAUAGUGAUGUAAAUUGAGGAAUUUUGAAUGUGGAAAAUAUUUAUGAAAUUUGGAUGAAUGUGGUUAAAUCGGGAAUUCAAUUAAUUAAAGGAAGUAAUUUUGUGGUUACAUCUAGAUUGAAUUUCUAAAUUGUCUGCGGAACAAACCGAUGGUAUUUCAAAAAGGUAAUUUAAUUUUGUUAAUGAGUAUAUGACCCACUAGUAAUUUAGUGACUUUUUUUGAAUAAUUUAGAAUAAAUUGUGUAUUCGGCUUUGAACCGAAUUUGGGAUUUCUUUGUGGCCCAACUGAAUGGUGAAGCUUGUAAACAAUAAUGGGCUUUUGUCACUCGUAAACUUUUGUUUUGUGCUGUCAUGGGAAAAACAAGGGCCCUGCGUUGCGUUGACAUGUUCAUGUUUAUUUAUUUGAUGAGAAGCUUGGAGACAAACAGCAAAGUAACUUGUCUAAAUCUCUUGACUCGUCGUUGACUCUGCCGUUGACUCUCCCUUGUUUUUUAUUUGCAGAUUUGGAACUUGAGCUAUAGGUAAAGGGGGGUUGGAGCUACAGCGAGCCUUUUUCCUGUUUUUGGUAUACUCAACAACACCCGCAAGGACUGCCAACUACGCACAUGAGGAAAACUUGUGUGUUUGAAGUUGCUUGUUUUUGGGGGGGAAGAAAGCAAAAAAUUUGUGGAGCUGCUGUGUGUUGGUUCUUGGGUGGGCAGCAUGGUUUGAACAAAAUAAGAGCAACUUUCAAAACUAUGUGGGAGGAAGUGGAGGGAUUAUUAAGAGAGUUCGUUGUUGGGAAUCAUUCUGAGAUUUAUGUUGAGGUUAUCCUUAACAACUAAAAUGAGUUACUAAAAAUAGCAACUUUAAUUCUCGCAAGUGCACAAACCGUUUAUAGUAUAGCUUAUGUAACUAUGAGGUCGAUCCCACGGAGAAUGGUAACUUUGUUCCAAGUUAAAUUACUUAGAAUGCUGGAAAAAUAAAAAAUAAAAAAACUGACUAACUAAGUAAAGGCAAGGUCGAAUUCAACAAUGCCUCUUACUAAUUACUCAAGGUCUAGGACAGAGUCCUAGCACCACACAUGCACUCAAAAUUGGGGUUUUGUUGUUGAAAUGAAAACAAGAAAGUGAAAUGAAAGUACUGAAAAGUAAACACUGGCAGCAAUCAAGAAGUUGUGAAACAAUGAUUGAGAGUUGUUAGAGCCUUGGAAUCCACCACUAGUCUUCCUAUUUAAGUUAUGAAUGCAUAGAAAUUGACUCAAGCUUCAUCAACAAUAGAUUAUCGCAUACAAGCCUAUGGUAUCUAGGUGUAGGAUGCAUGAUUCUCCUAAGGCAUGUGAUUGUGCAUGGUAUCUACACAACACGUGAUCUCUAAUAUGCAACAUAAGCAUGUAUCUACUUAGAAUAAAGAAUACAAGAGUCAUUAAGCUCCUUGAGAAUAUGAUAAUCACACAAGUCCUAGAACAUGGUAUUUGUCCUAGUCAACCUAUGGUUAUUAACCCCUUGAAUGAUUCGUAGGCCAUUCAUGUGUUGCUUGUGAAAGGAUAGUAGAAUUGGUGAAUCUAAACCCCUUCCCAACCUGUGCUAGAUGCAUAAAAUCCUAAUUAGCUACUCCAAGAAGACAUACAUCAAGCACAUAAUAAACUGGCACUACUACAAAAAGUGAAAAAGACGACCAGAAAACAACGACGGUCUAAGUGAAAACCGUCGUGGUUUUUAAAAAGACGACGGUUCUAAAAACACCGUCAUGUAAUACCACCUUAGACAACUAAAAAUGGAGAUUCAAAUGGCUGUUCAAAAACAACGACGUACCUAAUUAAAAAACCGACGUCUAUUUGAAACAGAUUUCCGCAGUGUAAAAUCAAAGCCAACAAAGAACGGCAUAAGUUAUGAAUCGACCGACGUAGAAAGUAAAGACGACGAUUUCAAUAAAAGCCGCCGUUUUUACUCAUAAAAUAACACGACGAAAUUUUCGUAUAAGACGCCGUAUAAUUACAAACAAAUCGACGGCUUUAAAAUACAAAAUGUCGCCGUAUUAAAUUAAUUUACAACGACGAAAAAUAUAAAUAUAUCGACGUUAUUCUCGUAUAGUUCUACGACGUUAUCUUUAAAUCGUACUAUAAAAUUUAACGUCGUAUUUAUUAAUUUUAUACGUCGUACCUUUAAUUUAAACCGUCGUCUUAAUAAGAAUUUUUGUUAACAAUUUUUUCCUUUAUUUUCUUAUCCUACGUCGGUAGAUCUACUUAAUGACAAGAAUUGAAAUCUGUCAUCCAAAAAAGAAACUUUACAUAAUCUAGAACAUUAAUUUCCUUCAUUUUAAAUUUCCUUAGGAAAAAAAACUCUAUUUAUAAAGCACUGUAAUUGAAAAAUAAACUGAAAGGUCACGGGAAAAAAAUUUCUAUUCAUAAUUUAACAAUUCAAAUCCACGUCGGUUAUAUUAAACCUAACGACGUUAAAUGAAAAGAUUCCACGUCGCAAAACAAAUAUUGCGUCGUGUUAGUUUAUGGUUUCUUUAAUAGUUUCAGUUUCUUUAACAGUUUGGUCCUUUAUCUUUCUGCAGGACUUGUAUAGUUCAAAGCAUUGACUUGUAUAGUUCAGAGUAUAGUUCAAAGCACUGAUUCGAUUGCUCAUGCUUUAUCGCAUUCAUGAAGCCAUUUCUAUUCUUUAUCGCAUUCUUGAAACCCAUCUUCUUCUUCUGAAGCUCUACGGAUAAAGGAAGAGGCUAUCACAAAUCUGACGGAUCUUCUUAGCCAAGAAAAUCAAGCAGAGGAUCAGGCACAUCUGAUCUUCAGAUUUCCCUGAGAAGCGAACUUUCCUUCGACAGCGAGUGGAGGCCAGGCUUGCAUCUCUUUUGAUGGAAAGCAAGGAGUAUUCAGAAGCACUAAAUGUCCUAUCAGGCUUGAUCAAGGAAGUGAGAAGGCUAGUUGACAAGCUUCUUCUUGUGGACAUAGAUUUGAUGCGAGUAAGCUCAAUUUCUCUUUGAGAAAGACAUCCAAAUUACUGUCUUUGAGAUGUGAGAGACAGUGUCUCUAAGAGAGGAAGAACUUGGAACCCUAAAUGUAAACCGAAAAUGAAUGAAAGCGACAAAUUUAUAGAAUAAAUUUUUAAAACCAACGGCGGUCCUUACAAAAAAACCGCCGUUUAAAUUUUAAAAUCAACGUCGUUAUGACCGACGUAUAUUACAUAAAUCCACGUCGGUAAAUUAAUAAAACCGACGUGUUAAAUGAUCUACCAUGACGCGAGUUAUUACUUAUGUUCUUUAAUUUUUGAGUUUACUACGACGGUACCUACAACACUACUGUCGUACUUAUUUACCACGUCCGAAGUUAAACGUACUGUCGUAUUUUGUAAUUUAUACGUCGUAGUUAUAUGUAACCGCCGUAUUAUUUUUUGAAAUGGUUUUAUAUGUAAGCAACUUUUCGUGUACCUGUCUUACACAUGCACUGUUUCCAAACCCGAUUAAAAAUUUCAAUCUCCCAGAGAAAACUUUUAGACUUUUUUCCUUGUCAGAGCACUUUCAGAGUAUCUCAUCGUCUUCCUCUCGUCUUCUUCGUCGUCUCUGAACUUAAACAUCGAUCGUCUUCCUCUUGCUUUCAUUGCACGCAAAAGGUAAGCUUUCAUUUUCACUAUUUUGGUUGCUGUUUUGCAUGCUCAUACGUUUUUUGUUUGAAAAAUCUUUUUACCUUUUUUCUGGCCAAAAUCAUUUUACUUCUUUCCAAGUUCGAAAAAAUAUACAGACAAAGAGGGAAAGUUUCCAACUUUGAAGACAACUACCUCAACUAAAUAAGACGACGGUAGCUUCUUAUUUACGUGGUUAAAUAUGUAGACCACGACGGUUCGUCAGUCGUUCUAGCGUCGUCUGAAAAUUGACAAAGUUGUUUUUAAAAUUAUAGUCUUUUUUUUAUUUGCUUGUUUAAUUGCAGGUUUGAUUUCUCUGAACAAUGGUUUUUGUUUUUCUCUAAUUUGAUAAAAUAUAAAGAAAAAGAAAUUAGGGUUGGUAUCUAAUAUAGACGACAGUAUCUUAUUGUUUUACGUCGUGUGAAUGUUAAUACCACGACGUCAUAUUAAAAUACCGUCGUCUAUAUAAGAUUCCAAAACUUUCUUUCUUGGCCUUGUAUUUUAUCAAAUUAGAAAACAAAAACCAUGGUUCAGAAAAAUCAAAUCUGCAAUCAAACAUUCAUAGAGAAAGAAAGAAGGGUUUUGGAUCCUUAUAUAGACGACGGUAUAUUACUACUGACGUCGUGUGAACAUCAAUACCACGACGUUAUAUAAAUAUUCCGUCGUUUAUAGUUAAUUAUUACGUCGUUUGUAGUUAAUUAUUUCGUCGUUGUUUAAUUACCUUGGUUUUAAACAUUUAUUACGUCUGAUAUUAUUUCAUUGCGUCGUUUAAAAUCAUAUCAUACGUCGUCUUUUAUUAAUAACCGUCGUUUGUGUUCUUAAUCUUUCCUUGAAAUAUUUUCACUUUCAGUUUUGUCUGUAAAAAUGGUUUCUCACCAAGACCAAAGUAAGGAUUCUGGCUCCAACAAAAAUGGAGGUAAGGAGCAAGUACCUCCUCAAGAGAAGUCUUCGAAGAUAAUGAAGUCUUCAAAGAAGAUGAAGUUUGCUUCAUCAUCUGCUGAUACAGAACCAACCAGCGCGACAACAAUCUCUGAUGAUUCAAAGGCUGGUCGAGGUAUGAGCACAAUGCCUCGUGUUGUGAAGAGAAAACUUCAGAAACUGAGGCCAAUUGUUGAGUACAAUAAAAGGGGGAAAGGAAUUGGCCAAGCACACAGUGAGAUGCAGUCCUAUAUUGGUGUGUUGGCACGCUCCAGAGUCCCACUUGUGGACUUGAAAUGGGCUCAAAUCCCCAAGGAUAUAAAGGAGCAGAUUUGGGAAGCAGUUGACAUUGCUUUUGUAGUAGGUCAAGGGGGCAAGAACUCUGUCUUAGCUUCUGCUGCCAAGAAAUGGAAGGAUUUCAAGUCUACACUAACGAGGCAUUAUAUCCUUCCAUACACCAAUGACAGGGAGAGAUUAAGCCAACCCCCUGAAACAUAUAAAUUCAUAGAGAAAGCACAAUGGGAUGCCUUUGUAGCUUCAAGGCUAUCCAAAGAUUUUGAGUCUGUGCAUUCUCAACAUGCACAGAUUAAGGAGAAACUCGAGUACAAUCAUCGAUUGUCUCGAAAAGGAUAUGCUGGUUUGGAGGAUCAAUUAGAGGAAACCAUGCCUGGGGUAGAAAUUGAUCGAUCUACCUUAUGGAAGAGAGCUAGACAGGACAAACAUGGUAACAUCCCUGAUCCAAAGGUGGCAGAGAAAGCAAAAUUAAUUGUAAGCCUACUCACUCUGUUUUAAAUUUUUAUUAAACUGUGAAUAAUUCUUAUUACGUCUUAUGUUAUAUUUUGCGUCGUGUGAAUGAUAUUACCACGUCGACAUUUUUUAAAACACGUCGUUAAAGGUCUAAAUAGGAAUCACAACUCUGUUUUCUGUAAUUAUAGCAUAAGAUGUCGGUGGUUCAAUUUCGCGUCGUCUGUAUUAAAUUACUACGUCGAAAUGUUUUAAACAACGUCGUUAAAGGUGUGAGUACUGUUACAUAAGACGUCGGUGGUUUAUUAAUUUCGUCGUUUUAAAAAUCUAACCACGUCGGUAUAACUACCGUCGUGAUAAAUUAUAAUAACGUCGAUUUAUAUGUUAUUGCGUCGUGUGAAAUUAUAUAAUACGUCGUUUGUAUAUAAAUAACCGUCGUGUGUUUUUGUUCUUACUUUUUUAUAUAUCUUUGUUUCAGGAUGAUUUGCAAAAACAAGUCUUGGAAGGCAAAGUCACCGUCUCUGGCAGCAAUGAUGUGCUGACCAUGGCUUUGGGCCCCGAGCAUCCAGGCAGAGUCAGAGGAGUAGGUGCUGGGAUCUCACCAAAGCAAUAUUUCAAUUUACCCAAACCACAGAGAGUGAGCUUUGACGACCGUUUGAAGGACAGUUUAAGAGUUCUCCUUCAAGAAGAGACUAGAAAGAUGGAGGCUAAGGCAAGGGAAGAGGCUUUAAGGAUGGAGGCUAGAACGAAACAAUUGGUAGAGGCUGAGAGGGAGCAUUUCCUGAGUCAGCUUUCCCAAUUAAUUCCCAAUUUUGAUCCAAGCAUGCUUAAACCCAGAAUUAGCCAAAGUCCCAAAAAUCCAAUGUCUGACAAAGCAAGCUGCUCUGGAGGUGAUGUGAGAUCCCAGCAUUUUGAGGAUGAUACUGCCAAAAAUGGGAAACAUCAGGAAGAAAAGGUAACAUAUCUGAACUUUGAAUUGUCUGUUUUUUUAAAAACCAUUAGACGUCGUUAUUAUUAAUAAAACUGUCGUUUGAAAUACAUACCACGACGAUUUUAAAAAUAAACUGUCGUUUGUAUUUCAAUACCACGUCGUAUUUAGUUUACUUGUUUUACACGCCAUUAAACGUCGUUAUUUUUAAAACUUUGUGGUUUUUAGACGACGGAGUUAAUCAUUCCCGACGUCAUAGAUGAAGAGAAUAAAGAAGAAAAACAAGAUGAAAAGCAGAAAGAAGAUGACGACCAGGUAUGUUCACAUAACUUUGCCUUUUUUAUUUGUUUUUCAAAAUUCCAGACGUCGAUAUUUUUCUUUAAACCGUCGUUUGUUUACAACUUAGACGGCGGAAUUGUUUUCUAAGACGUAAUAAAUAAUUCACCACGACGGUUGUUUCACCGUCGUUUAAAUUGUUUUCAGACGACGUUUUAUUCCUUAAACCGUCGUUUUUAUUGAAUUACCACGUCAUUUUUUUUAUUUCUUUAAACAGGUUACUAAAGUUGUUGAUUAUUCAAAUAUGGAGGCGCCAUCUUCUUUACAAACCCUUUGUCGUUAUGUGGAAACGACACUCGUGCCUCAGGAUAAGACCCUGCACUUUACAAUUGAUAAGGAGGUCUUUGGUCUAGAGCGCGAUACCUUCCUCCUGCCUGAAGAUAUUACACAAUUUGCAGGCAUGGAGGAAAUAGGAGCUACAGUCAUUGCUGUAUAUAUGAGGUUUGUCAUUCUAAAAUAAUACGUCGUUGGUUUAUUUAUUGCGUCGUCUUAACUAACUAACCACGUCGUUAGUAUGUACCGUCGUGAUAAAUUUAUUAUAACGUCGUUGUCUAUUUCAGUACGUCGUGUGAAACCUUAUAAUACGUCGUUUUGUUAUACAUAACCGUCGUGUGUUUUUUUUGCGCUGACUUGUUUAUAUUAUUUUAUAUAUUUAGGUACUUACACGAUGUUUUAAAACAAGCAAAUAUGUGCACAAUGGUUGGCUUUAUCGACCCUGCUACAGUUAGUGCCAGCUCUGGCACAAUAGCUGACAGAUCACGAAUGGUAGCAUCACGACUUCAGAAGACUGACGGUGAACAGAUUUUCCUGAUGCCUUACAAUCCAGGGUUAGUCUCCUUAACAGGAUUUUGUUUUUAUGAUUUUCAAUAAAUGACAGCGUAUAAACUAACCACGUCGGUGUUUUAUUUUAUUGAGUCGUUUGAAACGACUAACCACGUCGGUAGUUAUUUAUCGUCGUGAUAAAUAUAUAAUGUCGUCGAUUGCUACUUUAUUUCGUCGUGUGAAAUAUUAUAAUACGUCGUUUUUGUAAAUAACCGUCGUUUUUAUAUUAAUUUUGUGCAGCCGUCAUUGGAUCUUGCUGAUUGUAAGAGCAAAGAGGGAAACAGUCUAUUUUCUGGAUCCUCUGCCAGGAUAUCGUGUGGUCGAUGAAGAGGCCAAAAACAUCGUGAACAGUGCCAUAAAAAUUUAUAAUUCCCACAUAGCCAGAUCAGGCCGUAAGGCAGUCAUUUGGAAAACUCUGUCAGGCAUACCAAAGCAACCCAGCAAUGUCGAAUGCGGGUAUUACGUGAUGCGCUUCAUGAAGGACAUCAUCAUGGAUCCUUCCUUGGGGUUUGAGAAGAAGGUAAGAAGAAAUAACCUUCAAACAUUUUACGUCGUUUUUUGUAUUAUCAACGACGGUCAUGUAAAAUUACCGUCGUUGAAUAGAUAUACUACGUCGGUUAUGGUCGUCUGUGAUUGAAUUUCCUUUUAUUUAUAAACCCUAAUAGUCAUUGUUUUUAUGCAGUAUGCGAAGGGAAAACAGGAAGAGCCAUACCCCCAAGAAGCAAUUGAUGAAGUCCGGAAUGAAUGGGCAGAGUUUGUUUGCCUUCAACUUAAAUAGGGGAAUUAUUGAACACUUGAUAUUUAUGUAUAAUGUACAAAUUUUGUCUAUAAUAUAUAAUGUAAAAAUUUGUUGAGGUUUUCUUAAAGUAAAAAACAAAAACAAACAUACAAAAUGCGUUACCGACGUGUAAUAAUUUUCCAACGACGUAAUAAAGUCAAAAGCCGUCGUUUUUUGUGGUUUCGUUUUAAACAAAUCCGACGUAAAAGGAUAUUUAGACGACAUUCUUUGAACAAUGGAGUCGUUUAUGGUUUACAACGUCUUCAAUUUCUUAAGGGUUCAGGGUAGUACUUUGUAACGACAGCGGUUAAGUCGAGGAAUAUAUAUUUUACGUCGGAUAGUUAAAUAUCCGACAUCGUUUCUCAUUUAAACGACGUCAUUUUAACAACUUAGUCGUCUCUUACAAUUUACAACGUCUACAAUUUAUUAACACCGACGUGGUUUGUUGUUGUGAUAAGAAUAUUUUAUUAUUUUUAUAUCAAAAUAUUCAAAAUAAAUUUAAAAUAAAUCAGAAAAAUGCAAAGUCAACUCCUAUGAAGUCAUUGAUAUAUUUUCUUCCCCCUAAAGCUUGAAAAAAUUCAUUUUGAAUAACAAAAAUUUAAAAUGAACAUCCAAAAUAAAAUUAUUUUGAUGAGUCAUAAAAUCACUUCUAGUUUUAUGGUUUAGGGUUUAGAGUCUAGGGUUUAGAGAUUAGGGUUGUUAUUUAUUGGGGUUUAUUUUUAAAGUAUAAUUUUUGGGUAGUCUAGGGUAUAUAUUAGGCUGUAAAACCAUAAACCCUUUUAUAAACUUAAUUUUUUAAAUUAUAUAAUUUAGUUUUAAGGGUUUAGGGUAUUAAUUGUUAACGACGGUGGUUGAGUCGUGGAAUACAUAUGUUACGUCGUCCAGUAAAUUAUCCGACAUGGUUUCUGCGUUAAACGACGUCAUUUUAAUAUGUAAGUCGUGUAUUAUUAUUUACAACGUUUUCAAUUUCUUAACCCCGACGUGGUUUUUCAGUCGUCUUUAUAUCAAAAUAUUGAAAAAAAUUUUAAAUUAUUCCGAAAACUGAAGCGUCAAAAUAAACGGCGUUACGUUCAGUGUUUCCGUCGUGGAAUAUUACAUUUACGUCGGUUCUUGUAGAACUUUCGCCAUGGUUUUUCUUUCGACGUUUUAAAGAGCGCGUGCUCUAAAAAUUUUCGCACGUCCUAAAUUUUUUUAUAUUUGGCUCUUAUUCUUAUUCUUCUAACCCUGAACCCUAAAAUUUUCAGAUUUCGUGCAACAUAACAUUUCGCUCUCUCACUUCUGCUCUAAUUAAAAGUUGCUCUGUCACUUCUGCUCCGUCGAAUCUGUGAGCUCGUCCAACCUGUAAGUACAAACCCUAUCUUCCCCUUGUAAAUUCAUUGAAUGAUAUUAGGUUGUUUUGUUAAAGGGUUUUAGGUAUAUGCUUUGCGAUCUGUUAAUAAUGUGCUUAUAAGUAUGGGUUCAUGGAUUUUCUGUUUAAUGGGUUCAUGGAUUACAUUAUCUGUUAUGUUGAAUUGGGAAUGGAUUUAAUUUUGUCGGAUCUUUUAAUCACCCUAUGUUAUGUUGAAUUGGGAAUGGAUUUAUUGUUUUCAUGCUUGGUUUCAUGUAUAUGUUGUUUUCUUGCUUGGUUUCAUAUAUAUGUUGUGUUCUUAAUGGGUUUUGGGUUCUUGAAAAUAAACUGAGACACGACGCCUUUUUAGGCAUACGACGACGAUUACACGACGGUUUAUGAAAAAACCGUCGUUGUAUUAAUUAUACACGACGGUGUUUUCAUAAACCGUCGUUUGUAUUACUUAUAUUAGACGACGUCUGUUGAAAAUCCGUCGUCUAUAUAUGCCAAAUACGUCUGUUUUUGUUUAAAACCCGUCGUCUCUGUUGUGUAUUACUUGCUAUUAGAUCUUUGUAUAAUCUGCUAUAGUGAUGGUCAUUGCCUGUAUUUUCACUUUAUUAUAGAUAAUAGGUUAUAGUGUCGGAGAUGGAUAAGUCAUGGAUGCACUCGGAUAGAAGAUCGAAGGCAUAUGAGUUUGGGGUGGAAGCAUUUUUGAACUUUGCUGUAGAAAAUCUUCUAACUACAACACAUAUCCGUUGUCCAUGUGUUAAAUGUGUUAAAUUGAAGUUGUUUGGGGUUGGAAUUAUAAGGGAUCACUUAUACUUUAAUGGAAUUGACCAAAGCUAUAAGAAUUGGACAUUUCACGGAGAACCUUGGGAAGCAACUACUAAUGCUAGUAGAAAUGUUGAAGAAGAUGAUGGCCAUAGUAGGUACAGUUUUGUGUCUGAAGAAAUUGAUAUGGAUGAUAAUGAUUUUGGUUCCGAUCCGUAUGAGUUUGCCAAUGUGAUUGGGGAUGGAGAUCAACCAGUGUACCCUGGUUGUAGAAAGUACACGAAGUUAUCGGCAUUAGUGAAGUUGUAUAAUUUGAAGGCAAAACAUGGGAUGAGUGAUGUCUGCUUUACAGAAUUAUUGAUACUUCAAGGCGAUUUGCUUCCAGAAGGAAAUACAAUACCAACCUCUAUGUAUGAGGCUAAAAAGACUUUGUGUGCAUUGGGGCUGAGUUAUGAAAAAAUGCACGCAUGCCCCAAUGAUUGCAUCUUGUAUAGGAAGGAGUAUGACAAUUCAACUAAUUGUCCUACUUGUGGUAUCUCAAGGUGGAAGGAAGGCAAAGAUUCAAUCUUGAAAGAGGGUGUGCCAGCGAAGGUGGUGUGGUAUUUUUCUCCAAUUCCAAGGUUUAAAAGGAUGUUUCAAUCACAUGAGACAGCUAAGAGUUUGACUUGGCAUGCUGCUAGAAAAUCAAUUGACGGUCAGAUGUCUCAUCCGGCGGAUUCCCCGUCUUGGAAACUUCUUGAUGAUAAAUGGCCUGAGUUUGGUAAUGAGCCGAGAAACUUGAGAUUGGCUCUUUCAUCUGAUGGAUUCAAUCCCCACAGUUCUCUAAGUAGCAGAUAUAGUUGUUGGCCGGUUAUCUUAGUUACAUAUAAUCUCCCUCCAUGGCUGUGCAUGAAACGAAAGUUCAUGAUGUUAACCUUAUUGAUUUCCGGUCCUAAACAACCCGGAAAUGAUAUAGACGUCUACUUGGAGCCUUUGAUUGAUGAUUUAAAAUCUUUGUGGGAUGGGAUUAGAGGAGUGUAUGAUGCACAUAAUGGAGAAUACUUUACACUCAGAGCUGCAUUAAUGUGGACAAUUAAUGAUUUUCCCGCCUAUGGAAACUUAUCUGGUUGUGUUGUUAAAGGAUAUAAAGCUUGUCCAAUAUGCGGCGAUGAUACACCUAGUCACAGGUUGAAAAAUGGCCACAAAAUUUGUUACAUUGGGCAUAGAAAAUGGUUACCAAUCAAUAAUCCAUAUAGGAGGCAACGUGCAGCUUUUAAUGGGAAACCUGAAUAUGGCAUACCUCCCGAGCCAUUAACCGGAGAAGAAGUGCUGCAUAUGGUUGAAAAUGGUGACAGAGUUUGUUGGAAGAAGAAAUCAAUAUUCUUUGAUCUCGAGUAUUGGAAAUACCUUCCUGUGAGGCAUGCCCUAGAUGUUAUGCACAUUGAGAAGAAUGUUUGCGAUAGUAUUAUUGGUACAUUGCUGGAGAUCCCUGGAAAAAAUAAAGAUGGGAUUGCUGCUCGAUUAGAUUUAUUGAACAUGGGGGUCAAAACUGAUUUGCAACCCGAGUAUGGAGAAAGACGUACUCGUUUGCCUCCUGGGCCUUGGAAUUUGUCAAGAGCGGAGAAGAGAGAGGUUUGCAAUUCUUUCUAUGGUAUGAAGGUCCCUGAAGGUUAUUCUUCAAAUAUUAAAAAUCUUGUAUCUUUACAAGAUUCAAGACUUCUUGGCCUUAAAUCACAUGAUUGUCAUACCUUAAUGCAACAAUUGCUCCCUGUGGCAAUUCGUUCUGUUUUGGAGAAGCCUGCAAGGUAUGCAAUAACUCAUUUGUGCUUCUUCUUCAAUGCUAUAUGUGCAAAGACUGUUGAUGUUUCCAAGCUAGAUAAGUUGGAAGAAGAUGUAGUAGUUACUCUGUGUUUGCUUGAGAAGUACUUUCCCCCUUCAUUCUUUGAUAUCAUGGUUCAUCUAGUAGUACAUCUUGUCAGAGAAGUUCGUCUAUGUGGGCCAGUAUAUUUUAGGUGGAUGUAUCCGUUUGAAAGAUAUAUGAAAGUGCUGAAGGGGUAUGUUCAGAAUCGUACUCGUCCCGAAGGUUGCAUUGCUGAGCGGUAUAUAGCUGAAGAAGCGGUAGAGUGUUGUACUCAGCAUUUAUCUGAUGUUAGUAUAGUUGGAGUGCCUUCAAGCCCAAAGAUGGGACUUUCAAAGCCAUUAUCAGGUUGCACAGUGAGCGUAGUUGAUCAGGACAUGUUGAAUCAAGCACAUCUAUAUGUCUUGGAGAAUACGGAGGAAGUCCUACCUUAUAUCGAGUACGUAUGAGCUUUAUUCUUUAAGUUUCCAUUUUAAAUUAUUUCUUAUGUUUAUCUUCUAUAUUUAGGACCGUAAUGCUUGAAUUUUUCGUGUCAUGUAGGCAACAUAUGAUUCACAUCAAGACUGCUUAUCCAAAAUUUAGAAAGAGAACAAAGUGGCUGCAGGAUAAGCACAAUAGCACUUUCAUUCAAUGGCUACGCUUCAAGGUAUAUAUUGUUGAAUAACAUAUUUCUCUUUUAAUUUUCUUCUUAUUUAUAUGUUAGAUUGAAUUAAGAUAUGAUUAAUUUGCAGGUUCAAAGUGAACUUGAGGAAGACAAUCAUGGCGUAUCAGAAAAUUUAAGGUGGCUAGCAGCUGGUCCAAACAUGUCAGUGCCAUUAUAUAGGAGCUAUCUUAUUAAAGGUAUUAAAUUCAAUAUCAAGGCACAAGAUGAUGUGCGGACAACUCAAAAUAGUGGAGUUUAUUUACUUGCACAUACCAUGCAAGUUGCUAGUGCCAAGGAUAAAAACCCAAUUCUCUCAAAUAAGGGUUUCUAUGGUGUCAUUCAAGAAAUUUGGGACCUUGACUACCAAAAGUUUACAAUCCCAGUCUUUAGGUGUGAUUGGAUAGAUAGUUCUGGUCUUGUAGUCGACGAACUUGGAUUUACCCUUGUAGAUUUGAGUAAAAUUGGACAUAGGAAUGACCAAUUUGUUUUGGCUUCUCAAGUCAAACAAAUAUUUUUUGUUGACGACCCGAUGCAUCGUGGUUGGUCGGUAGUGUUAUCAAUGCCUAAUAGAGAAUAUAAUGAUGUUAUUGGUGAUGAAGUCUUAGGUGAUGUGAUAAUUGAGUGUGAGCCAUUUACUAGAGGGAUGCCAAAUGUUGACACAUUUGAUGAACUGGUAGGUGAGUUAGGCGGUCAAAAUAUUCGAGAUGGGUGUGAAGAUAUAUGGAUUGAAUGAUGCUUAUGUAAUUGGCAGUGUAUGACAUUAAUUUUGUAAUAUAUUGUAAUGCGAUUCUUCACUUUCUACGUUCAAAUAAAACACGACGUUAUUGUGAAUCAGUUNNNNNNNNNNNNNNNNNNNNNNNNNNNNNNNNNNNNNNNNNNNNNNNNNNNNNNNNNNNNNNNNNNNNNNNNNNNNNNNNNNNNNNNNNNNNNNNNNNNNNNNNNNNNNNNNNNNNNNNNNNNNNNNNNNNNNNAUCCCAUAAUACCGACGUCUAAAAAACGAGAUAUAUAAUCUGAACGUUAAAAAAUACGACGUCAUCAUACAUUUUCCACGUCGUAAGUUCUUUUAUAAACGAAGAGGAACGAAAUGAAUUCCGACGGAAGUUCAUUAUAACCGCCGUUUAAUAACAAUUAAACGACGUUAUUUGUAAUACGGCUCUCAUCAUAAUCUACGCCGUCUAUAUGUUCUGUAAUACGGCUCUCAUUUAUUUGGAACCGACGUUGUUUAGAAGUUCAACGUCGUCUAUAUUAUUAAGUGCGUCGUGAGUAAUGAAUACAUAUAAAUACAACGUCGACUAUAUAAAUGUAUACGUCGUAAAUAAUGACACUGACAACUAUUUCCACGUCAUCCUUUUUAGAAAAAUCGAAGUGGAAAAUUUAUUUCACGACGGUUUUUUGUAAAUAAGAGACGUAGUAGAUUUCAAUAACGUCGUCUUCUCAUGUAUUUAAAGACGUCAUAUUUUUUCUUGUCGGGUAAAUUAUAUUUAACGGAGUAGUAUUUUAGUUGUCGUCGUUGUAUGUAUAUCUUGCGGCCUUGUUCUUUUAAUAUGUGUCAUAUUUUUCCUUUUUAACGACGGUGAUUUUUUUGAGUUGGUUGUCUAUUCUCAUCCUCGACUAUUUUCUAGAACUUUAGCAGACUAAACACGUCUGUUUUUAUUUUUUUCCGACGUUGUUUUAUUUAACAACGUCUAAUAUUUAUCGUCGUUGUUUGUUUCUGAAAAUAGGACGUAUAAAUUUUGUAAUACGACUCUCAUAUAUUUGUUACCGACGUUGUUUAGUUUUUCAACGUCUACUCUAUUAACAUAUACGUCGUAAAUAAUGACACUAACAACUAUUUCCACGUCAUCUUUUAUCGAAAAAUCGAAGUGGAAAAUUAAUUUUACGACGGUUGUUUUUAUAUAUGCGACGUAGUAGGUAUCAAUAACGUCGUCUUCUAAUGUAUUUAAAGACGUCAUAUUUUUUAUUGUCUUGAAAAUUAUAUUUAACGUCGUCGUAUUUGUAUUUUCGUCGUUGCAUGUCUAUCUUGCGGCCUUGUUCUGUGUCAUAUUUUUCCUUUUUAACGACGGUUUUUUUAGAGAGUUGGUCGUCUAUUAUCAUCCUCGAUUGCUUUUUUUAGAUCUUUUUGCAGUACAAAGACGUCGUUUUGUAUUUGUUGAUGACGUUGUAUAUUUUAACAACGACGGUUAUUUAGCGUCGUGGUUUAUGAGGGAAAAGAUGACGGUGGAUUCCACGACCAUUGAAAAACCCAAUACACGACGGUGAUUUACCGUCGUCUUUUUGCUUUUUUGUAGUAGUGUGGAGAUUAACAACUUGAUAAUGAAAGCAAGGAAAUCAAUUAAUUAUAAAAUCAUCCAUAAAAUUGAAUAUUCAUGACUAGGGCUUCAUCCUAAGCCCUAACUAAAUGGAUUAGUUAGACAUAACUAUGAAUACAGAAAAUAAGAAAUAUAUAGAUAGAAUAAAGAGAAGAGAAGAACUAGCUGGUGGCAACAAGGUAGUUCCCAGGACAGCUCCAAGGUCUCCCUCCUUUGCAACUAGCUCCCUUCUCUCUUGUGGGGAAUGAUGGAAUCUGAAUGUGUGUGUGAGUAAUGGAUGAAAUGAAUCUCUCUCUCUAUCUCCCUUUUUGAAUGAGUGUGCAGCUCUCCAUUUAUUGAGUGCCAAUUUCGUCCUCCCCUCUAGCUGGUGAAACACAUCUCUCUUAGCUGCUCCCAAUUGCCUAAGCUGCCUAAUAAAUGCCAACUGCUCCAGCUGCCCAAUAAAAGCCAAUUGCUUUAGCUGCCCAAUAAAUGCUUUGGUGAACUAUUCUUGGUCUCUUGAUGGCAAGCUUGACUUUUGU